GUGGGGAAUAUUGCACAAUGGGCGAAAGCCUGAUGCAGCGACGCCGCGUGAGGGAUGACGGCCUUCGGGUUGUAAACCUCUUUCAGUAGGGACGAAGCGAGAGUGACGGUACCUGCAGAAGAAGCACCGGCUAACUACGUGCCAGCAGCCGCGGUAAUACGUAGGGUGCGAGCGUUGUCCGGAAUUAUUGGGCGUAAAGAGCUUGUAGGCGGUUUGUCGCGUCUGCUGUGAAAGACCGGGGCUUAACUCCGGUUCUGCAGUGGGUACGGGCAGGCUAGAGUAUGGUAGGGGAGACUGGAAUUCCUGGUGUAGCGGUGAAAUGCGCAGAUAUCAGGAGGAACACCGAUGGCGAAGGCAGGUCUCUGGGCCAUUACUGACGCUGAGAAGCGAAAGCAUGGGGAGCGAACAGGAUUAGAAACCCGAGUAGUCC
rnacentral:rRNA from 1 species